rnacentral:rRNA from 1 species
AGAGUUUGAUCGUGGCUCAGAUUGAACGCUGGCGGCAGGCCUAACACAUGCAAGUCGAGCGGUAACAGGGGGUGCUUGCACUCUGCUGACGAGCGGCGGACGGGUGAGUAAUACUUGGGUAUCUGCCCGAUAGUGGGGGGCAACACGGGGAAACUCGUGCUAAUACCGCAUACGCCCUACGGGGGAAAGCAGGCUUCGGCUUGCGCUAUCGGAUGAGCCCAAGUCGGAUUAGCUAGUUGGUGAGGUAAAGGCUCACCAAGGCGACGAUCCGUAACUGGUCUGAGAGGAUGAUCAGUCACAC